rnacentral:rRNA from 1 species
CCUACGGGUGGCAGCAGUGGGGAAUAGUGCACAAUGGGGGAAACCCUGAUGCAGCGACGCCGCGUGAGUGAAGAAGGAUUUCGGGAUGUAAAGCUCUAGCAGCAGGGAAGAAAAUGACGGUACCUGAGUAAGAAGCACCGGCUAACGACGUGCCAGCAGCCGCGGUAAUACGGAGGAUGCGAGCGUGAUCCGGAUUUAUUGGGUGUACAGGGUGCGUAGGCGGAAGGUUAAGUCAGCGGUCCAAUGUCAGUGCUCAACCCCGGCCGGCCGUUGAAACGGGUCUUCUUGAGUGAGCGAGCGGUAUGCGGACUGCGUGGUGUCGCGGUCACAUGCUUCGAUCUCACGCAGAACUCCGAUUGCGAAGGCAGCCUCCCGGCGCUCAUCUGCCGCUGAGGCACGAACGCGUGGGGCUCGAACAGGAUUAGAUACCCGUGUAGUC